rnacentral:rRNA from 1 species
ACGUACACUCCUGCGGGAGGCAGCAGUGGGGAAUAUUGGACAAUGGGCGCAAGCCUGAUCCAGCCAUGCCGCGUGAGUGAUGAAGGCCCUAGGGUUGUAAAGCUCUUUCACCGGUGAAGAUAAUGACGGUAACCGGAGAAGAAGCCCCGGCUAACUUCGUGCCAGCAGCCGCGGUAAUACGAAGGGGGCUAGCGUUGUUCGGAUUUACUGGGCGUAAAGCGCACGUAGGCGGACUAUUAAGUCAGGGGUGAAAUCCCGGGGCUCAACCCCGGAACUGCCUUUGAUACUGGUAGUCUUGAGUUCGAGAGAGGUGAGUGGAAUACCGAGUGUAGAGGUGAAAUUCGUAGAUAUUCGGAGGAACACCAGUGGCGAAGGCGGCUCACUGGCUCGAUACUGACGCUGAGGUGCGAAAGCGUGGGGAGCAAACAGGAUUAGAAACCCCUGUAGUCCC